UGGGGAAUAUUGGACAAUGGGCGCAAGCCUGAUCCAGCCAUGCCGCGUGUGUGAAGAAGGCCUUAUGGUUGUAAAGCACUUUAAGCGAGGAGGAGGCUACUUUAGUUAAUACCUAGAGAUAGUGGACGUUACUCGCAGAAUAAGCACCGGCUAACUCUGUGCCAGCAGCCGCGGUAAUACAGAGGGUGCAAGCGUUAAUCGGAUUUACUGGGCGUAAAGCGCGCGUAGGCGGCUAAUUAAGUCAAAUGUGAAAUCCCCGAGCUUAACUUGGGAAUUGCAUUCGAUACUGGUUAGCUAGAGUGUGGGAGAGGAUGGUAGAAUUCCAGGUGUAGCGGUGAAAUGCGUAGAGAUCUGGAGGAAUACCGAUGGCGAAGGCAGCCAUCUGGCCUAACACUGACGCUGAGGUGCGAAAGCAUGGGGAGCAAACA
rnacentral:rRNA from 1 species